rnacentral:lncRNA from 1 species
AACACAUCGAACACGGUGACGUCAGAUACGUGCACUUGAGGGUGUUCAGAUGUGUAGGUUAUCGUGGACCCUGAUGUUUCUUUCCCUAUUGUUUUGAGAGCCGUUGAUAGAGGGGGGUUUGAUAACUUCUGGGCUUAGAGUGCUCUCUUUGGGUUGGUAGACCCGAGUGUGAUCCAUCUGUGGCAGAGUCAGUCAGUCAGUGCAGUUCAUAGUUCGUUAUGAGUAGAUGCGAUCCAGCUGACCUUAUGGUUCUAGAGUUGACU